GGGCUGCCCAGGGCUGCGCCAGCUUCAGAAUCCUGCUGCCAUCUAGGGAUGAGAUGAAGCGUCUUCCCGCGUACAGCCGCCCUGAUGGAUCGCUGGGGCCUCGGGCGGGGUGCACCGCUGUCCUUUCGCCGCCGUCCGGGCGGCACUGCACGUGCAGCGCGCGGUCCCCCACCCAGCGCAGCCCGCAACACCCCUGGUCUGCCGCAGGAGACCCUGCCGAUGCCACUCAGGGUCAAGACUCUGGCGCGGUGGAAACUGCAGAGCAAAAGGAAACACAGACAAAAACAGUGAGAAGGAGAGAGAGCAUGUGGGGCUUUGCCAGAGAGGAACUUGGAUGGCAAUCACCUAAGAACUCCAAACUCAGUGCCAGGGCAGACUGGUGUCUAUUUUGCAAUGUCUUCCAGUAGUUGAUAACUUUCUACUUUUAAAAUAAUUGGAAGAAUGUAAGCUCUCAACUAGUCCACUAGUCCCGAAACAAUAGAUACCAGCUGGCAGAGAUAAUAGCUGUCUGGAAGAGAGAGAUACAUACCACAUCAAAAAACAACAAAAAAAGGAUGGCUCAAGUACUCAAAAGGCAGCACUAAAAUAAGGCUAUGUCUCUUCCUGAGAAUACUCUGGACUUCAUUCUCUGAUUAAAGAUCACAACUGCUUCUUCGUUGAGGAAAUCAUGUAUUUCAAAGCCACCAAUGAACAAGGUAAUGGGAUGUAUUGGUCCAGCACUGAUAACAGGUUAUCCUACAAUCAAGUAUACUCUUUCCAGAAAGCUGAGUUAGGUAUGCAACUGCCUUUCUAAGCCAUGACUACAUUGCUAAAUGAAUCAUUGAUUUGGAAAAUCUGAAGUGACCUUCAGCUUGUUCUCCAGCUCUUCCUCAACAGAAAAGAGAGGCAAAAUCAGCAAAAUAUUGGAAAGAGGUAGUUUUUCUAAAGGUAUUUGUGGCAGGUAGAAGAUUGGAGGCCACUCAGCUAUGUGUGUAAGUGUGUGCAGGGAGAAAUUAGGUUCUAUAUUCAGAAGUGACAUUCUUUGUAUUUUCAGUGUGGCUCUAAAAACAGAGCCUUUUUCUUAUAGUUCAGAGUCAGACACUGCCCUUGGCUUCUCAGCCAUUCUAGUAAACUAUUUGUUACUCAGAAAGCCUCAAAUUCUUCAUUGAAUUUAUUUGGACCAGUUUUUGUGCACUUACCUCGUUGGCAUGGUAAUAGUCUUUUGAAUAACCAAUACUGUGAACAAUUAUACAAUUAAAAAUUCUACUUCCAUUAUUAUUCUUAACUUCUCCCUUUAUAUUUUGUUACAGUUAUGAGGUAUGUUUUAUUAACUAUUCUAGACAUAGAUCUAGCCCUGCAUUUACUCAGCACUGCCUUGCUCCUUUUCAUGAGGGGUGAUCUAGUUAGACAUAUCAAUAUUCAAUGAAAUGUAUAGAUUACCCUGAUAAAAUGGCUCAAUGAAGUUCAUGUAAGGUCAAUGGAAGAUUGAGGCAUCAUAUGCACUGAGCCACUAAUUGGUCUCAUACUAGUAGGAUAUAGCUAUCCCCACCCCCUAUAUCUUGAGUCUCCUUCCUCUUAGGUGCUGAGCAUUUCCAAAGGCUUCUCUAGCUGAAGCAGGUAUAAGAAAAUGAAGUGACAUAAAGCAUCAACCCUUAGGUAUAAAUGAUUGGCAAGUCUCAACCUUGCUAAAACUGAGACUUUUCAAUUAGCUAUGCUUAAAAGUUUCUACUGAAUUACUGAAGCCAUAAUUAUGUAUGUAAUUCAAGUUUCCUUUGAGCUGACCUACAAUGAAAGAAGUUACCUAAAUGACCUCUUAGGUCCUUUUCUCUCUCCAGCAAUCAUGGAUACUUUACGAAUCUCAUAAGGAGUACAGCUCAUUUAUUAUUAACACCAUUUUAGAAUGAAGGAAGAAGAGGCUUAGAAAGGUUUAGUAGCAGAGAAGAGAGCAGCCUUCUGAUUUGUGGGUUCCACAUUCUGGAUGCAGAAAACUUUCAGUCAUUCUUAUCUAUUGUGAGGCUUGUACCAGUUUCUCCAUAAACUUACAAAACCAAACCAUUUUGACAAGCUUUGUUCCUGCCUCUGACUUCUUUCAGAUAGUGGCUAACCAUCUUCUCUUGAUGAGUCAUUUUUGCUCUUCCUCAUUCCCUUCUUGAUGUUCAAGUAGGUGAACGUGAUGACUAUAAAAGGCAAGCAAUUAAUAUCUGGGGUUAGGCAGAGCUCUGUAAGCCAAUCUCCAAGAAUGUGCAAGCUCCUUUGUCCUUAACUGUAACCUUGGCACAUGAAAAGCAACUUCCAUUCCGUUUUACCAACAUUUCGGUCAAAGAUCAAUUGCCAUUGUAAUUAUAUCAUAUAUCACAGGAUGGGGAAUCAGUGAGAGGGCAGGCCCUUUAAACUAAUACAUAUCAUUAGCAUUUAAAGAACAUGAAAAACAAAUUGAACAUUAGUCCUCAUGUAAGUCUUUUUUCUAGAGCAAAUAAUUUUCCAAAUUAAAAUGAAUAAAUUAAUGAAAUUGUCACAUGUCUGAGAAUAAACUAGGUUGGUAAUGCCGUCAAGCUCUUAGCAAAGUUUAGCUCAUUGUACUUCUCUGUCUGAUCAUUAUAACAUCUAAUCAAGGGGAGCUUAAAUACUUCAAUGAGCUCUCAAAAUAAAUUUGAUCUGAGCAGCUCAGGUCUCAUGGAUUCCUAGGGUUACUGACUGGGUGAAACAUGUUUUUGUUUUAAUCCCUGUCUCAGCUCAAAGAGGAUUAAUGCCCGUAAUUCUGCUAUCCCCAUUUAAUUGAGAAAUGAAAUUUGAAGAGGCACCUCCUGGAACACUCCACUUUGAAAUAUGACCCAUCCACUGUCUAUAUAAUAAAUCUUCCUCUGCUCUCACACACUUAUCCACAUCCUUCCUAUCCCAAAGAAGGAGGAAAGAAAGUUAUUGUGUGUGUGUGUGUGUGUGUGUGUGUGUGUGUGUUUCUGUGCAUCUAAUCCAAAACACACAAUGUUGUUGUUUUAUUUUUCAAUUUUGGAAUUAUCCUAAUAAAGGCAUUCUCUGGGAAGCUCAGACUGCAUCUCAAACCUUUCUCUGACACUAGCAUCCUCAUUGGAACAAAUAGCCCUUUCACUAAAAGCAAUACAGUUAUUGCAUUCAUGUUAUAUGAUGGUAAUUUUCACUUUUGCUUUCAAUACAACAUUAAAAGAAAAAUUGUCUAUAGGAAAGAAAGAGGCAAUAUACUAUAUCCUGGAACUAAUUCUUUGGCAUCUGUAAAAAAGGGGGCCAUAAUUCUGAAUAGAGGCUCCUGUCCUAAAACAGACCCAAUGCUAAGAUCUAAUAGAAAGGGCACAGAGAAGCAUAAGGAAACUUAAUGUCACUUUCACGUUUUUUGUACAAGUUGAUGUGAGGAUCUAAAGAGGCAAUUUCUGUAAAAUGCCUAGUAGAGGACCAGGCAUAUAGUAAGCCCUCAGCAAAUGCUGGCUGUUAUCAUUAUGUUUUAUAAAGAAUUUUUACAUCUUCCUCCUAAGCCCUGAGGCUUCAUAACGAAGCCUUAUAUAUGACUCUCAAUGGCUCAAUGUCUUUCCUAACCUAAUGUAGAAAGUGACAUACCAUUGCUUCCAACAUAACCUAUUGGUCACAUGGACCAACAUAAGACCAAUGUGGGAUGACCCUGUACAUAAGGGUAAGAAGCAGGCAUCACUUGGGGCCAUCUCAAAGGAAGGUGACCACAACUGCCUAAUGGCAGUUGAAUCCUUUAUCAAGCUACCCUCAGUAACACUUCAGCUUUCAAGGACCAGGUUUUUGUGACUAUUGUGAACAGGAUUUUAGUGAAUGAAGAUAUAUCCCAAAAUAACAUUUCACUUAAAAGUUGAAUAUCUGUUAUCAAUUUACAAAUGCUUUUAUGUUAUAUCUCACUUGAGCUUCAAAAUAACCUUUUAAGACAGACAAGAGUAGAAACUACUCCAGUGAUUUCAUAGAUAAGGAAACUGAAGAUCAGAGAGACUUAAUGAUUAACCUAAGAUUUAAACUAGAUAUCCUCCUAGCAUUCUCAUGGCACUUAUUCUGCUAGCGUAGGCUGCCUUGUAUAUUUUUUAAAUGACUAUCUGUUUAUGUGCUGGUCAUGGGGUUUGCAGCAAAUCACAAGUGUGUAAUUUUUUUUUCUUAAAGGCAUUUAAUCUACUUUCUAAAAAUCACUAGAAUUCAGAAACUGAUACUACUUCUUUUGUUUCAUUAUUUGCCUCCCUGCCCCCAACACUCAUACAUAUUUAGAGACACCCAUGGACACUCAUGAACACACAUAUUCUUCUUUCUAGUCCCUUAUCAAUGGCAAACUAAAGUUAUUUUAGAAUAUACUAGCUGUCAUUGUGCCACAGAGAAACCUCUCUUUCAUGCAAAUUGAUAUAUGUAUAUAAUCAUACAUGUUUAUAUAUAAACUUUGUAGCUUUCCUCCCUCUUUUCUAAAAUAAAUUAUGAAAGGUUGUAUGUUCAGGCUUCACGCAGAAUUUUUCAUUUGAGGGAGACUUUUUCAACCCUUUCUAUUUGAGUUGGUAGCCAUUUAUAUGAAGAGAAAAUGAAUACUAAUGGAAAAUCCUAGAGUGGAUUUGGAAAAUCAUUAUAACAGUUCUGCUAUAGGUUUGGGCCUUUGACAAACCACCUAUUCAAGGAUGAAAAAUCCACUAUUUCUCUUCUGCAUUUCUUUUUCCGAAUACAGCUAGAUUGAAUAACAGGCCAGAUAAAGGAUUCAGAACAAUUGCUUUACUAAGUAAUAGUGAGCCCAUGUUCUAACCAAUGGGACAGAAACUGACCCUCUGUAUCUCUGACACAGUUGCCUUUCAUUGACAGAUUUACAGUGGAGGGGUUGGGAGAGCAGAUGAAUUAAAAAAAAACAAAAGCAAAUCAAGAUCCCCCAUAAAUUUCACGAUCCCCACAUCUUCCACCUCAGCACCUAUUAGAACACCUUACUCUUAAAUUCUGCACAUGUGGAGAUUUAUUUGUAUCCCAGAGGUUUGCUCAGAUGUUUCCUCUGUGCUUUCAAUGCAGGCCCACCCUUUUCUUUCUUCAUAUUAAAACCAUAUAGAUUCUCCUUGAAGCCUUCUCAACUGGUAAUAAUCAUUUACAUCCUUGCUAGUGCUUAUGAUUUUCGAAUUACUUUUAGAUAAUCUAACUCAGCGAUCUCCACACAACCUUAGACACUUAGCCCGGCAAGUAUUGUGCUUUUGCUUUCAUGGAUGAGAAAAAGGAGACUUGGAGUGCUUUGAUUAGCAAACAAGGUUACAGAGCUAAAAAAGGAGUGACACUGGAGUAGAUCCCAGCUUAAAUGAAACCCACUGCUUUACCUGCCCCUAUAGCCUGCAUGAUAUUUCCCUAUUCUGAGUGCUUGGAGCUCUUGGAGUCUCUUACAUCUAAUGUGAUCAUUAAGAGGUACUAACUGUCUGAUUGCUUCUUGUGUGCAGCUAACUCACUGGUGACCCAGCACUUUGGGAGGAUGAGGAGGGUGGAUCACAAGGUCAGGAGUUCGAGACCAGCCUGGCCAACAUGAUGAAACCCCGUCUCUACUAAAAAUACAAAAAUUAGCCAGGCGUGGUGGCAUGCACCUGUAUUCCCAGCUACUUGGGACACUGAGGCAGGAGACUUGCUUGAACCCGGGAGGCAGAGGUUGCAGUGAGCCAAGAUCGUGCCACUGCACUCCAGCCUGGGCGACAGAGUGAGACUCCAUCUCAAAAAUAAGUAAAUGAAUAAAUAAAAAUAAAAUAGAUUGAGCCUCCACAUUUUGCAUGCAGCUUUCUUGGUGCUUGUCCUUCUCCUGUGCUUACUCAAAGAUGGGACAUUGUGCACAAUGAGAAGAGUAUUGGGACCAGUAAGGAAGAAUGAGUCAGAUAUUGUGGGACCUCUUUUUUUGUUGUUUUUUUUUGCUCCCAGAAAUCUUUGAGAUUUUAACCUGAAUGGAAAAGACAAUAUGAGGGUGAUGAAAGACUCUAGAUGGUCCGUCUUGGAGAGAAGGUUUUGCCGUCUUGCCCCAGUUGGUCUCGAACUCCCGGGCUCAAGCAAUCCACCUGCCUUGGCCUCCCAAAGUGCUGGGAUUACAGACGUGAGCCACCAUACCCUGUCCAGUUUGGAAAUUUCUUACAAAGCUAAACCUAGUCUUAGAAUACAUUCCUGCAAUUGUUCUCUUAGACCAGUAAUGAGGUGUCUCCUGGCACACAAUCACAAUGCACUGACAAACCAUCUUGGUGUGUGAAAAAGACUCAGAAAAAUCCAAGCAAUGUGACACUACUAGCAAGCAUAGUUCCACUUCACCAGAGACUUCAGGUCAUAGUUGGGCCUAAGGCAGAGUCGCUUGGCUGGAGAAGUCAUUAUUUAUAGGACUAUAGACCAAGUUUCAUGUCUGAGAGGCUCUUACGUUAUUACAUAGAAACAAAAUUUUGUUAUCUAUAAGAAUGAUUUGCGUCUUUCUCCUUACGUUAGUAAUCCUAAGAAAAUAUUGAAAAUGAAUCAUUCUUUAAAACAAUUAAACAAUUUACUGAUUAUUUUCACCACUAUAUGAUGCACAUGUGCCUACCAAGAAAUCAGAUAUUUUCUUGUGUGUAGCUUCAUUCAAUAGAGUAAAAUAGAAAACUUUUAUUAUUAAUAAAAAUGUGAAAUUCCAUGUCAUAUACUAUGAUGUAUAAUCUUCUAUGCUUCAUUGUGUCUAUCCUUUAGCAUCACCAUUGACUGACUUCAAGAGUACACUUUCCCCUUACAUAGCUGUGCUAGUUGCUACAGGUAAUAUUUAAAAGCAUAAAAUACAGUCUCUGACUCUGUGCUUUAACUUAAUCCAGUUGGAGAAACAGAAUAUGUGUAAAAAGAUGAAAAAUUAUGGAAUUUAAUAAAAUCUAAUUCCAAAUGGAAAAUAUAGGCAAGAAAUAUGAUAAGACAUCAAUACCUGAGAACAAGAUUACCAUUGGAGAGGGUAGACCAGGUGCAGUUUUUCUAUGACUAGUAGACUCCGAAAGAAGGGAAUUCUAAACAAGAAGGUAUGUGGAAGAAGCAGUAUAUUUUAAACCCUCAACUCUUGUUAGAAAAAACAAACAUCCUCUGAGGACUUCCUCAUAGGUAGCAAUAUGAUAAGCAAUAAUGCUCUGCAUCAGGAAUGAAAUUAGGUAUUAAAGGAGGGAAGAUCUAACAAGUAGAAGUUAUAAUUACAGACCUUGAAACUCAUGUUCUAGAUCAGCGGUCUCCACCCUUUUUGGCACUAGGGACCAGUUUUGUGGAAGACAGUUUUUCCACGGACCAGGGUAGGAGAUGCUUUUGGGAUGAUUCAGGCACAUUACAUUUAUUGUGCACUUUAUUUCUAUUAUUAUUACAUUGUAAUAUAUAAUGAAAUAAUUAUACAACUCACUAUAAAAUAGAAUCACUGGGAGCCCUGAGCUUGUUUUCCUGCAACUAGAUGGUCCCAUAUGGGGAUGAUGGGAGACAGUGACAGAUCAUCAAGCAUUAGAUGCUCAUAAGAAGCAAGGAACUGAGAUCCUUGCAACCUAGAUCCAUUGCAUGUGUGGUUCACAAUAGGUUUUGCACUCCUGUGGGAAUCUAAUGCCACUGCUGAUCUGACAAGAGGCGGAGCUUAGGUGGUAAUGUGUCUGGAAAUACAGAUGACGCUUUGCUCACUCACCUGCUGCUUACCUCCUGCUGCGUAGCCUGGUUAUAAACAGGCCAUGAACUGGUACUGGUCUGUGGCCUAGGGGUUGGGGGCUCCUGUUCUAGAUUUUUUAGAGAAGACUACCAUGUAAAAUGAUAGUGAAUAAUUAUUAAUAUUAAUAAUAUAAUAGGUCUAAUUGCUAAAUCAUAUAUCAUAAAAUCUAGCCUUUAUGAUAAUUUACCUUUUAAACAGUCAAUAAAAACUGGAACAAUCUAGUAGGGUAUCACAGCGGUGAUAGGUCUUAACUUGCAUAAUAUUUGAAUUUAUAGAGAGAAUAAAUACCACAUUGAAGUAAAGCACAAAAUAAGCCAUGAAGUCAGUACUCGGUAUUGCAUGUUCGUGAGACAGUGAAGAAUUUAAUUCAAUUACAGACAUGCCAUAGGGAAUAAUGAUUUACCAAACUUUAUCGAGUUAAGUGAUAAAAAGUGUUAUGUUAGGUAGAUUAAUCAAGGGUAGUGGUUCCAUUCUUUGGUUUUUAGAUGCUAGGAAGGCUGUGGAAAUAAAGUUGCAUGUAGCUCCACAUACACACUGAAACAUGUAUCUACCAAGCAAUAAACAUACUUUCAACAUGUUUCCUUUAAAUAUGUAUAAAUAGGCCAGGCGUGGUGGCUCACACCUGUAAUCCCAAUAAUUUGGGAGGAUGAGGCUGGUGAAUCACUUGAAUUGAGGAGUUUAAGAGCAGUCUGGGCAACAUGGUGAAAUCCUGUUUCUACAAAAAAAUACCCCCCAAAAUGCUUAUAAAUAUGACUACUACAAUAAAAAUAAAUUUAAUGAAUAUAAUUUAUUGUAAUAGGCCAUUCUAUAUUUUUUCAGUCAACAGAUGUGAUUAUUAUCUUACACUGGGAGAUGCCUACCUGUCUCGUCUCCUCUCCUUUCCUCUCCUCUCCUCUCCUCUCCUUUCCCUUUUCCCUUCUUUUCUUCCCUCCUCUCCCCUCUCCUUCCCCUUCUCCUUCCCUUCCCUUCCCCUUCCCUACUCCUUCCCUUCUUUGCCUAAGCUGGAGUGCAGUGGCAUGAUCUCAGCUCACUGCAACAUCCACCUCCCUGGUCCAAGCAAUUCUCCCACCUCAGCCUCCCUAGUAGCUGGGAUUACAGGCGCACCACCACAUCUGGCUAAUUUUUGUAUUUUUUAGUAGAGACAGGGUUUCACCAUGUUGGCCAGGCUGGUCCCGAACUCCUGAUCUCAGGUGAUCUACCCUCUUUGGCCUCCCAAAGUGCUAGGAUUACAGGCGUGAGCCACCACGCCCCACUUUAAUUUUGUAUUUUUAGUAGAGACGGGGUUUCACCAUGUUGGCAAGGCUGAUCUCUAACUCCUGACCUUGUGAUCUGCCCAUCUAUGCCUCCCAAAGUGUUGAGAUCACAGGCGCGAGCCACCGCGCCCAGCCUCCUCUCCUCUCCUCUCCUUUCCUUUUCGCUUUUCCCUUUCCUUCUUCCUUCCCCUCUCCUCCCUCCCCUUCCCCUUUCCAUCCCCCUCCUGUUCCCUUCUUUCCUUUGGCCUUGUGAAGUAUCUAUAUAUUAUUUUCAUUAAAGUGCUGUCAGGGCUGGGCGAGAUGGAUCAUGCCUAUAAUCCCAGCACUUUGUUAGGCAGAAUCAGGCAGCUCACCUGAGGUCAAAAGUUCGAGACCAGCCUGGCCAACAUUGCAAAACCCCGUCUCUACUAAAGAAUACAAAAAUUAGUGGAGUGUGGUGGCAUGUGACUGUAAUCUCAGCUACUCAGGAGGCUGAGGUAGGAGAAUUGCUUGAACCCAGGAGGCGAAGUCUGCAGUGAGCCGAGAACUCGCCACUGUACUCCAGCCUGGGAGACAGAGUGAGACUCCAUCUCAAAAACAAAACAAAACAAAACAAAACAAAACAAAACAAAACAAACAAAAAAAUUGCUGCUAGCCAGGCAUAGUGACAUGCACCUGUAGUUGUAGCUAUUUGGAGGCUGAGGUCAGAGGAAAGCUUGAGGCCAGAAGUUUGAGACCAAUCUGGGCAACAAAGCAAGAUCCCAUCUCUAAAAUACAAAAACAAACAAACAAACAACCAUGCUGCCAACUUACAUUGACAUAUGCUUUUUAAUUAUCAAAUAUAAAAUGUACAGACUAAAUGCUCAAUAUAUUUUCAUUUGUGUUGUUUGUUAUUGGUUUACUGAGUUAUGCUAA
rnacentral:lncRNA from 1 species